rnacentral:rRNA from 1 species
CGAUUCUGGCUCAGAACGAACGCUGGUAGCGUGGAUUAGGCAUGCAAGUCGAACGGGAUCGGUUGGAUAGCAAUAUCGGCCGUGAGAGUGGCGGAUGGGGAGGAACACGUGAGCAACCUGCCUUUGAGUCGGGGAAAACCGUUGGAAACGACGGCUAAUACCGGAUGUGGCGCCCGGUGACAUCACUGGAGCGCUAAAGGGGGCCGCAAGGCUCUCGCUCGUAGAGGGGCUCGCGCACCAUCAGCUUGUUGGCGGGGUAACGGCCCACCAAGGCCUACGGUUAGCUGGUCUGAGAGGAUGACCAGCCCCACUGGGACUGAGAUACUGCCCAGACUCCUACGGGAGGCUGCAGUCGAGGAUCAUUUGCAAUGGGCGAAAGCCUGACAAUGCGACGCUGCCGUGGAGGAUGAAGGCCUUCGGGUUGUAAACUCCUGUCAUGGGGGAACAGGCGAGGGGACCCAACACGUCCCUUAGUUGAGUGUACCCCAAGAGGAAGGGACGGCUAACUCUGUGCCAGCCGCGGC